rnacentral:rRNA from 1 species
UACGUAGGGUGCAAGCGUUAAUCGGAAUUACUGGGCGUAAAGCGUGCGCAGGCGGUUUUGUAAGACUGUCGUGAAAUCCCCGGGCCCAGCCUGGGAAUGGCGAUGGUGACUGCAAGGCUAGAGUUUGGCAGAGGGGGGUAGAAUUCCACGUGUAGCAGUGAAAUGCGUAGAUAUGUGGAGGAACACCGAUGGCGAAGGCAGCCCCCUGGGUCAAAACUGACGCUCAUGCACGAAAGCGUGGGGAGCAAACAGG